GAAAUGCGAUAAGUAAUGUGAAUUGCAGAAUUCAGUGAAUCAUCGAAUCUUUGAACGCACCUUGCACUCCUUGGUAUUCCUUGGAGCAUGCCUGUUUGAGUAUCAUGAAAUCUUCAAAGUAAAUCUUUUGUUAACUCAAUUGGUUUCUACUUUGGUAUUGGAGGUCUUUGCAGCUUCACACCUGCUCCUCCUUGUUCAUUAGCUGGAUCUCAGUGUUAUGCUUGGUUCCACUCGGCGUGAUAAGUUAUCUAUCGCUGAGGACACUGUAAAAGGUGGCCAAGGUAAAUGCAGAUGAACCGCUUCUAAUAGUCCAUUGACUUGGACAAUACUUUUAUGAUCUGAUCUCAAAUCAGGUAGGACUACCCGCUGAACUUAAGC
rnacentral:misc_RNA from 1 species